AGAUGGGCAAACUAACUAAUGGGCGUUAAAAACAUAAAUGUUGGUCUUAGUAAGUCUAUUUACUUCCUUCGUGUUUGUAGUUCAACUGAAAUUUCCCCUACAGGGGAUUAAUAAAGUUAUAUCUCAUCUUAUUUAUACUGGUCAGGGGUUGGUUCUCUACAUACUCCAACAUGUUGUAGUAGAUGAUUUGGGUGGCUGGAUGGUGGGACCAUUAUUGCCCAGUAGCUGUUUGUCUUUGUCUCCCGUCCUAAUCCCUAAUACUUUCCACAAAGAAGUGGACAUCUUUGUGUAGCUAAGCUUGAUAGAAUAGUAAGCAGCUCUCUAGAUGUAGGUACUCCUUUUGCCUUCUAGAGGGCCUCCAACAUACUAGCAAGGCCUGCCUCCUGCAGCCUGUUUUUAUUUAAAUCUGGACUGUAUUCAUCUUUGCCUGUCAGGAAUGGUCCCAUCCGUCAGCCAGUGAAAAAACCCAGAGGUCAGUCUUUACAAACUCAGCGUCUCAGCCCUUGCUCUUCAAGAGCCCCAUCGGCUACAGUGUAACUGAUGUCUGAUACCGUCGCUGCUGUUGUGUUUUCCACAGGUGGACAAACUCGAAGCCUCUGAAUCUCUGAGGAAACAGGAGGAGCAGGCUACGGAGUCUCAACCCAUUGUUUACGGCACACCCCAACUCAUGCUCACAGCAGGGCCCAACGUGGCUGUGCCUCCUCAGCAGCCAUAUGGCUACGGCUACACAGCAGCACCAGGCUACGGCCAGCCACCACAGCCCAGCUUCGGUUAUGGCAUGUGAACACCCAACAACUCAACCCCAACCACCAUCACAACUUGACACAACUUCCUUCCAUUUGUCUUUCUCUCUUUGUGUUCCUCACCAGCUUCCCAUGGUCUUCUACUCACAACAGGGGCCACAAGCAAGCAACAGCCCACUCUCCUUUGAGUACUAUUUUUUUAUUAUGUUGUCUGUUACAAGAGAAAACAUUUAACUGCAUUGAAGGACUUUUAUUUGUAUUGUUUGAAAAGAAAUUGGACCACAUGUAUGUUUGUUUGUUUUUCACAUUCCAUAUUUAUGACUACUUAUUUAGAUAUUUCUUUGUGUUUGUUAAUGUUGUCAUGUUUUGUUUUGUUUAUUGGUUUUAUGGUUUGUGCAGAAGUGGACUUGCUAAAGCUCAGCAAUGAACCUUUGAAGUAGGUGGAGGAGCAUUGGAUUUUGCACUCGUGAAGAAAUUAAUGUAGAGAAGCUCUUACUUUUGAUGUACUGAACAUGUGAACAGCUUAAAUUGUCUCGUUUGUCUGUAUAAUGCAUUUCAUCAUUGUAUAUUCUGAGGGAAAAAAAAGUUACAUAUAAUAUUUGAACAUAUAUUGCCAUUUCAAUGGCUAUAGUUAGCAACACUAAGUGAUGAUAGUAUAUUCUGCACAAGCGUGUAGCUUUAUGGAGUUUAAAAUGCAUACAGAUGUAUGUCACUGUGUGAAUAAGGAUGUGUGUGUGUGUGUGUGUGUGUGUGUGUGUGCGAGUGAGUGUGACCCAAUGGUCUAAAUAAGAAUUUUAACCCCCCCCCCCUCUCUCAGCCUGUACUGGGCUGUCCAAUUCACCCUCCUAGAUGUUAGCUCUCCGUCAUUGGCUCCAUGUAUUUAGGUGACCUCUUGUGACGUGUACAGUGCUUGUGUGAGACUGUAUCUGUGUAUGUGCAAGGACGGGACCACGGCUAACAGACCCCAGGGCCCUUAACCGUACCGUGUGUGUGCAUUUACUCCUCGUGCUGAGGUCUGUGUAUGCCAGGUGUUUUUUGGUGUUUCCCUUGGUCACCAUUACCCCCCCCCCCCCCCCCCCCCCCCCCCCCCCCCACCCGUAUAGAUGUGAACAUGAUGAAUUGAAAACUUUUAAAUGGAGACCCCACCCACUUGUCCUCCACCUACUCUCCUGUCCUGUUUCCUCCUUGGUUAAUGCUUGGCGGCAAGAACAAACAAGGAGGCAGAAAAAGACAGGCCGGUGGAAUCUUUGGUGUCCUACUUGACAGCUUGAUUAGAUCCAUAAACACUCCUGUAGGUUAUGUGUAUUGAUGGUUAUGAUGAAGAAAUUAGGUCUCAGUACAUCCAGUUCUUUGUCAAGAAUGGUCUGAAAUAAGAGCCUGUAUUUACGUUGAUGUACUUAACUUCCUUACACGCUUUAAGCUGUGUGUAAAGUGUCAUCCUAACUCUAACAUAAGUUGAAUUCCUUUCUGUUGUCAUGCAUAUUAGUAAUGCAGGGGAUCUGUCAUUAAUAAGUGGAAGAAUAUGACUAAACUGAAAGGGAAAUACUAGCCUAAAUAAAAACAUAAAAUUGUA